GAUUCCUGCGGACCCAGCUGCGGCGACGCCGGGAGACCCCAAGCCGCAACGCCGAGUGGCUCGCAAUGCCCUGGUGGUCUCCUUCGCGGCCCUGGUUGCGUACUCCUUCGAGGUGACUGGAUACCAGCCCUUCAUCCUAACAGGGGAGACAGCUGAGGGGCUCCCUCCAGUCCGGAUCCCGCCCUUCUCAGUGACCACAGCCAACGGGACGAUCUCCUUCACUGAGAUGGUGCAGGACAUGGGGGCCGGGCUGGCCGUGGUGCCCCUGAUGGGCCUCCUGGAGAGCAUUGCGGUGGCCAAAGCCUUCGCGUCUCAGAAUAAUUACCGCAUUGAUGCCAACCAGGAGCUGCUGGCCAUCGGUCUCACCAACAUAUUGGGCUCCCUCGUCUCCUCCUACCCGGUCACAGGCAGCUUUGGACGGUGAGUGACCUGUCCUCCUCUUCUGUUUGCCCACGUUGGACGCCUUAACGUUGUUACUGACGAGGAGUCUGCCUGCCCUGACCCCGGCGCACCGUCCUCCGCUAUGAACUCUCUG
rnacentral:sRNA from 1 species